rnacentral:rRNA from 1 species
AGAGUUUGAUCCUGGCUCAGAAUCAACGCUGGCGGCGUGCCUCAGACAUGCAAGUCGAACGCGAAAGUCCCCUUCGGGGGAUAAGUAGAGUGGCGCACGGGUGAGUAACACGUAGGUAAUCUACCUUCGGGUGGGGAAUAACCCAGGGAAACUUGGGCUAACACCGCAUAAUGCAGCGGCACCACAUGGUGACAGUUGUUAAAGCGGGGGAUUUUCGGACCUCGCGCCUGAAGAGGAGCCUGCGGCAGAUUAGCUAGUUGGUAAGGUAACGGCUUACCAAGGCGACGAUCUGUAGCCGGCCUGAGAGGGCGGUCGGCCACACUGACACUGACAUACGGGUCAGACUCCUACGGGAGGCAGCAGUCGGGAAUUUUGGGCAAUGGGCGAAAGCCUGACCCAGCAACGCCGCGUGAAGGAUGAAAUCCCUCGGGAUGUAAACUUCGCAAGAAUGGGAAGAAUUAGUAGGGGUCAAUACCCCCUAUGAUGACGGUACCAUUUGUAAGCUCCGGCUAACUCCGUGCCAGCAGCCGCGGUAAUACGGGGGGAGCAAGCGUUGUUCGGAUUUACUGGGCGUAAAGGGCGCGUAGGCGGCCAGCACAAGUCGGUUGUGAAAUCUCCGGGCUUAACUCGGAAAGGUCAACCGAUACUGUGCGGCUAGAGUGCGGAAGGGGCAACUGGAAUUCUCGGUGUAGCGGUGAAAUGCGUAGAUAUCGAGAGGAACACCUGCGGCGAAGGCGGGUUGCUGGGCCGACACUGACGCUGAUGCGCGAAAGCCAGGGGAGCGAACGGGAUUAGAUACCCUAGUAGUCC